rnacentral:misc_RNA from 1 species
GGAAAAAUUGAUAUUAUUUUCCCUGGGAUAUUUUUUACGUUUACACCGAUAGGCAUUACUACAGCAACAUGGCAGAAGCUAAUUAUCAGACCCCAGUUUACGUAACUGAUGAAAACUUUAAACCAGGCAUUGUACAGGUUAUAUUAGAUAUACCUAACCUGAAACCAUUCAAGAAAAAUCAACCAAAUGCUAAAAAUGCCAAUGUAAUUUAUGAAUUCCAUACAAGAUCUAUGUGCAUCACAAUUAAUGGAAACAAAGGAAAGUUACAGAACAAAAAUUAUCAACUCGAUAUUAAAAGGCUACCAGGUGAUAUAGAAGAAAAUACUUCUCAUAUUAAGAUUAAGCACCAAUUAUUUAGAGACUACUAACCUCAAUGACUGGACUUUAGCAGGCUACAUCUACAGGCGUUUUCCCCUCUUAAUAAUAUAGUAGAAGAAAAUCGCAUUCAAGUAUUACUAGUAAAAGCUGACAACAGCUCAUGGUACCCAGCAUUGAAUACUGGUUUAGAAACAUUUGAAG